rnacentral:lncRNA from 1 species
AAAAAACCACAGUGUUCUGAAUUAGCAUAAUAGCAGCUUUGGCACAUUUAUUGAUAGAUGCAGAAAUCAAACAAUUAAAAAGCUAAUAAGAAAAAAAAAAAACCAAACCCAUGCUCAUGUCUCUUUGGUAUACUUGUACCAACAUCACAAACGUGCUCAAAAAUGAAUGUAAAGAGGGUUAAAGUAGAAACAUAAACUCAGCUAUAUUCAAAUUAAUUUGAAAGCAUGAAAUAAUCGCUGUUGAAAAUUACGCUAUUAAAAAAAUUCAAUUAAGAUUUGUGACUCACUUCAGUUUUGAUUUUAUCCCUUCUGCUCUAGAAAAUUACGAACUGCGUAUCAAGUGCCCGGUGGGGUUUGGGAGGCAAUGACGAACAUACAUUUCAAAACAUUUUUUUUUUAUUAAGACAGUACUGACUAUGAAAAACGGGAUUAAAAUCCCUCACUGAAUUUCUUACAUAUUGCACCACUAUUGCAGCUGACCUGGUUUUCUUCCAUGUAGAAUGUUUUGAUGUUUGUGAUUUGUUUUACAAUGUUUUAAGAAGGAAAUGUUAUUGAUUACUUUUCAGGAACUCCAUUUUGUGGGUUUUUCCAUUUAAGAUACAUUUUGAGUAAAAUAUUUAUUUCGAAAACAGCAGCAGCAGCAUGUUUCUAACUUGCCCAUUUUUACUGUGUUUUCUAGUGUCGGCCAGAGUAGAAAAUCCAGAACUCUUGAACCUCUCUAUCUGACAUCUACACAAACUGUUCAGCAGUGGGAGACAGGCAGCCAUACCUAUUCCCAGCAGUUACAGCACCAAAAAAGCAGUUGCUUUUUUGGCACCUUCUCUCACGAUCAGCUGAGCUUAAGAAAAACUAAAGAAAAAAUCAUAAAAAAGUUGGUUGGAAGGAGCCUCAACCUGAUGCUUGGACCAGGACUGACAGCAGGAGUAACUCAAGGCAGCCUAUUGUAUGCAAAUAGCCAUUAACCAUGGAUCCUCAAAGCCAGACUUAUUUUCAUUGCGGAUUUUCAACCCUGCUACAGCACAGCAUUCCUAAAGCAGGAGCAGAGGUUGUAGCUGAAGAUAAAGUGUGGUGGCCUGCGUCAUCCCGUCCAGUUCCAGUGCCACUAAUAACUCACGUGAGUAACAGAAACACUUGGGCUCCUCUGACGAAAUGUGACGAAGGAACAGAAGUGACGUGGAGAACAACGUUCAUCUCUGUGAUGUCCCGUCUGUGGUCCAUCUGCCUCUGAAUGCCACACAGCAUCCUCAGCACCACUCAGGAAUUUCCUGAGCUGUUGCAAAGACUUUCCUCCCAAGUCUGGUUUGCUAGACUGCAAAAUUUAACUGAAGCUGGUGAGUUCCUUUUUAAUUUAUAUAAAAGGAUAAAGGGAGUCACUGCAAGUUUAUGAAUUGCAUCUUUCGCAAUCCAAGGCAGAGAUUUGACCUUGAAGCUUUAUACCCAGUUAGGUUUGAGACUGAGUUGGAAAUAUAUGGGCAAAAAGUGUGCAUGAAUUUGCUACAGUAGUUGAAGUCUGUAUUUACUACAAGCUCGUAGGCUAAUUAAGUUAUCAUAGUUCCUUUUGCUUACUGUAAUUUAUAGCUUUCCUGCUAACCCAGUGAAGAGCCAUCUUGUCAGCCUAUCUGGGUAUCCCAGAGAGCCUACAACUCUUUUUACUUUCUGACAGAGAACAGACCGGCAACAUCAUGAAAUUCCCAACAAAAUGAACCGGUCCAGCCAGUGCCAGCUGCCGACGGGCUGAGUUUGGGGCUGCGUUAACUUCCGAUAACAGAAGACGUGGUCUGACAGUGAGCCAGCCACAGAACCUACCCGACGUCGUGCCAGACCUCCCACCAGCUUCUCAGCUCUGCCUUCAACAUAUGCUGGCUUCCCACUGGCAAGGGUGAGUGAGGUAACUCCUCCAUUUGGAGGGAGAAAACUAUGAGCCACCGAACUUCUGCAGCUCCUUGGAUGUGUCCUCUGACAGAGUGUAUCUAUCAACCAGUGUCUCAUGGUUAAUCACACCUAGAAAACAUAAUGUGGCAUUUAAUAAGCCAGGGUAAAGAACCUUCC